GACGAACGCUGGCGGCAUGCCUAAUACAUGCAAGUCGAGCGAACAGAUGAAGUGCUUGCACUUCUGACGUUAGCGGCGAACGGGUGAGUAACACGUAAGGAAUCUACCUAUAAGCGGGGGAUAACAUUCGGAAACGGGUGCUAAUACCGCAUAAUAUCUUCUUCCGCAUGGAAGAAGAUUGAAAGACGGCUCUGCUGUCACUUAUAGAUGACCUUGCGGUGCAUUAGUUAGUUGGUGGGGUGACGGCCUACCAAGACGAUGAUGCAUAGCCGACCUGAGAGGGUGAUCGGCCACAUUGGGACUGAGACACGGCCCAAACUCCUACGGGAGGCAGCAGUAGGGAAUCUUCCGCAAUGGGCGAAAGCCUGACGGAGCAAUGCCGCGUGAGUGAAGAAGGCCUUCGGGUCGUAAAACUCUGUUAUAAGAGAAGAACAAAUUGUAGAGUAACUGCUACAGUCUUGACGGUAUCUUAUCAGAGAGCCACGGCUAACUACGUGCCAGCAGCCGCGGUAA
rnacentral:rRNA from 1 species